CGGCCACAUUGGGACUGAGAUACGGCCCAGACUCCUACGGGAGGCAGCAGUGGGGAAUAUUGCACAAUGGGCGCAAGCCUGAUGCAGCGACGCCGCGUGCGGGAUGACGGCCUUCGGGUUGUAAACCGCUUUUGACUGGGAGCAAGCCCUUCGGGGUGAGUGUACCUUUCGAAUAAGCACCGGCUAACUACGUGCCAGCAGCCGCGGUAAUACGUAGGGUGCAAGCGUUAUCCGGAAUUAUUGGGCGUAAAGGGCUCGUAGGCGGUUCGUCGCGUCCGGUGUGAAAGUCCAUCGCUUAACGGUGGAUCCGCGCCGGGUACGGGCGGGCUUGAGUGCGGUAGGGGAGACUGGAAUUCCCGGUGUAACGGUGGAAUGUGUAGAUAUCGGGAAGAACACCAAUGGCGAAGGCAGGUCUCUGGGCCGUCACUGACGCUGAGGAGCGAAAGCGUGGGGAGCGAACAGGAUUAGAUACCCUGGUAGUCCACGCCGUAAACGGUGGAUGCUGGAUGUGGGGACCAUUCCACGGUCUCCGUGUCGGAGCCAACGCGUUAAGCAUCCCGCCUGGGGAGUACGGCCGCAAGGCUAAAACUCAAAGAAAUUGACGGGGGCCCGCACAAGCGGCGGAGCAUGCGGAUUAAUUCGAUGCAACGCGAAGAACCUUACCUGGGCUUGACAUGUUCCCGACAGCCGUAGAGAUACGGUCUCCCUUCGGGGCGGGUUCACAGGUGGUGCAUGGUCGUCGUCAGCUCGUGUCGUGAGAUGUUGGGUUAAGUCCCGCAACGAGCGCAACCCUCGCCCUGUGUUGCCAGCACGUCGUGGUGGGAACUCACGGGGGACCGCCGGGGUCAACUCGGAGGAAGGUGGGGAUGACGUCAGAUCAUCAUGCCCCUUACGUCCAGGGCUUCACGCAUGCUACAAUGGCCGGUACAACGGGAUGCGACACUGUGAGGUGGAGCGGAUCCCUUAAAACCGGUCUCAGUUCGGAUUGGAGUCUGCAACCCGACUCCAUGAAGGCGGAGUCGCUAGUAAUCGCGGAUCAGCAACGCCGCGGUGAAUGCGUUCCCGGGCCUUGUACACACCGCCCGUCAAGUCAUGAAAGUGGGUAGCACCCGAAGCCGGUGGCCCAACCUUUUGGGGGGAGCCGUCUAAGGUGAGACUCGUGAUUGGGACUAAGUCGUAACAAGGUAGCCGUACCGGAAGGUGCGGCUG
rnacentral:rRNA from 1 species